AUUCUUUCCGAUGCCAAUGUUCCGGGUGAAGGGGAACAUAAGAUAAUGUCCUACAUUCGUCUUCAAAGGAAUCUUCCUGGUUUUGAUCCAAACGCCCAUCAUUGCUUAUAUGGUUUGGAUGCGGAUUUGAUUAUGUUAGCUUUGGCUACCCACGAAGUUCAUUUUUCAAUACUUAGAGAGGUUGUAUAUACUCCUGGACAACAAGAUAAAUGUUUU